UACAGAGGUCUCAAGCGUUGUUCGGAUUCAUUGGGCGUAAAGGGUGCGUAGGCGGCUCGGUAAGUCGGAUGUGAAACCUCCAGGCUCAACCUGGAGACGCCAUCUGAUACUGCCGUGGCUUGAGUCCGGUAGAGGAGCAGGGAAUUCCCGGUGUAGCGGUGAAAUGACGUAGAGUAUCGGGAGGAACACCUGUGGCGAAAGCGGCGCACUGGACCACAUCUGACGCUGGAGGCGCGAAAGCUAGGGGAGCAAACAGG
rnacentral:rRNA from 1 species